AGAAAAAAAUGCAGAGUAGAUCACCGUUGGUCGCCCGGGCGACGGACGCUCGAAGCUUGGGCGUCCAAAUCUGACGCCCAAGCCUAUCAUGCUCCUUAAAUAUCGCCCAAGCGAGCUCCCUACGAUGCCUGGGCGAUACAUGACCAGGAUCAGGCCCUGUUUCUGCUCUGUUUUGAUUCUUUCGGACCGGAGCGCACUUUGGGACACGUCUGACACUAUUUAAAGGACCCUGGGGCUCUAGGUUUUGCAUCCCUGG
rnacentral:lncRNA from 1 species